CCAAAGGCCCUUUUAAGGGCCACCCAUCUCCUCUGAAAAAGAGCAG
rfam:Astyanax mexicanus Tnplaced_Scaffold_50, whole genome shotgun sequence.